rnacentral:rRNA from 1 species
CACGUAGGGGGCGAGCGUUGUCCGGAUUUAUUGGGCGUAAAGAGCUCGUAGGCGGCUCAGUAAGUCAGGUGUGAAAACUCCAGGCUCAACCUGGAGACGCCACUUGAUACUGCUGUGGCUAGAGUCCGGUAGGGGAGCAUGGAAUUCCUGGUGUAGCGGUGAAAUGCGCAGAUAUCAGGAGGAACACCAGUGGCGAAGGCGGUGCUCUGGGCCGGAACUGACGCUGAGGCGCGAAAGCCAGGGGAGCAAACGGG